rnacentral:rRNA from 1 species
UGUGCCAGCCGCCGCGGUAAUACGAAGGGUGCAAGCGUUACUCGGAAUUACUGGGCGUAAAGCGUGCGUAGGUGGUUCGUUAAGUCUGAUGUGAAAGCCCUGGGCUCAACCUGGGAACUGCAUUGGAUACUGGCGAUCUGGAGUGCGGUAGAGGGUAGCGGAAUUCCCGGUGUAGCAGUGAAAUGCGUAGAUAUCGGGAGGAACAUCCGUGGCGAAGGCGGCUACCUGGACCAGCACUGACACUGAGGCACGAAAGCGUGGGGAGCAAACAGGAUUAG